rnacentral:rRNA from 1 species
UACGAAGGGGGCUAGCGUUGCUCGGAAUCACUGGGCGUAAAGGGUGCGUAGGCGGGUCUUUAAGUCAGGGGUGAAAUCCUGGAGCUCAACUCCAGAACUGCCUUUGAUACUGAGGAUCUUGAGUUCGGGAGAGGUGAGUGGAACUGCGAGUGUAGAGGUGAGAUUCGUAGAUAUUCGGAAGAACACCAGUGGCGAAGGCGACUUACUGGACACAUAUUGACGCUGAGGUGCGAAAGCGUGGGGAGCAAACAGG